AUCGAGACUAGAGUCACAUCCUGGCACUUUUCAUUGUCUUGGUGUGCUAUAGUCCUCGGAGAAAGACCACUGAUCUAUAUUCACUGCCAGUGGCGUCCCAUGCCUCCAGUCAGUCACCGGAUCAGUAACAUUG
rnacentral:snoRNA from 1 species